CCAAACUUCUCUCUUCUGCACAGCGUCCUCAAGCCAAUUUUCUCCCCUCUUCCUCGCGCAAAACUGAAAACUCAGCGCCCACAACCCAAAUUUCUUGCCAAAUCCGAACUCUCCUCCAAUCAAACCUGAAAACCCAGAAAAACCUCAGCCCACCAUCCCCAUCUCGCUUCGACAAAUACAAAAGAACCUCAUCCCCCAUCUCUGUGAAACACAUAACCCAUCUCAAUUACUUUUUCAAACCAUAGAUCCAAACCAGCCAAACCAUCUCAAUCCCUCUCAUGCUUCGUGUUGGUGUUGCAAUUGAGAAUAUUUCAUCGGUCUCAAUCCCUAUUGUUGGGUAUGAUAUUUGUCUCUAAAAUCAGAGAAGGAGCUGAACCAACUUUCUGGGGGUUUGGAUUCAAAUUGCAGGAGUUUAUGGGUUUUCGUGGAUUUGAGAAGGAGAUGAUGGGAGAGUUGGGAAACGAAAGGCUAAUCUCCAGUUGAUAAGUGUAGCAAAGGAAAGGCCAAGCAGAUGAAGAAAGCCAAGAAACACCCAAACAAGCAAAACUUCUAUAUCUUUUGUCUUUUUCAAAUUCUAGUGCCACUCUAAGAAAGACCCCACAGUUUGGUGGGUUGAUGACAAUACAUCAACAACUGCAAAGCUUGAUACUGGCAUGUUAAUUGCUGUGAAGACGAAUAACUGAGAAGGUUUACAGGGUCACAAGGAAUGGUUGGUCAGUUUUACUGUCUGCUUACAUACAAAGUUUCAAUCUGUCUUCCUGAUUCAUUUCGUUAUCCUGAACCUAGCCUCUGUUCAAAUCAAUUGAGUAUGGCACACAUAUGAGA